rnacentral:lncRNA from 1 species
CUUAACUCAGAGCUGACAUCCAUUGAAAUCAAAGUGGGAUAUGUUUCUUUACUCUGCUUUGUAUCAUGUUUAAGAGCAGUUCCCUGGAGCGAAAUGAGCUCUUCCAAGUGAAUGGUUCACCUCACCAAACCUCUGGGGGCCAUCUUUAAAGCUAUUGCCUCUCUUCCUCCAUUUGGCCUCAGACCAGAAGACAGUGGUACCCUGGGCAGGUAUUGGGUUUUUGUUCCUGGAUAGCUGACUGGAAGAUCAGUGAAUGUUAUGUAAAAGUUUUCAAAAAAUCAUGUAAGUUUAGGUCUGUGGAAUUCCAGGCAGCAUUCAUGAAGAUGAACAAAUUGCCAGAAGGCUCUCAGAAUGAUCUACACUCUGGUCCAAAAUGCAGGAAUUCUUAUGCAGGCACAGAGGAGCCCGAAGGUGAAAUUGAAGAUGUUAAAAACAGUGUGAUGUGGAAGCAGACUGAAUGAGAAAUUUUUCUUCCAAAUAACCUUUAUCUCCCACUGGCAUUGAAGUGUCUAGUUGCUCACUGCUACAGAAAAUGUUACUGUUUYUUCCCAAAUGAUCUCUCUGUUGUGUCACAUUCCAGAGAACUGAUGAUGAGUUUUACUGUCAGAAACUGAAGAAAGAAAGUAGGUCUCCUGGAAAUUAGAGCAAUUUUCUCACACUUCCUUUUCCCUUCUCACCUUAUUGUAUAUCUGUUUAACAAACAUUUUCUCUCAUCUCUAUUUAAAAUAUGUUUAUAUUUUAAUAUGGAAAAACCUCCUAGAUUUCACAUUUGAUACUUCAGGGCUCUACAAAGUAUUGCAAGUAAAGAGAACGUUUGAUAAAAAGCRUGUUUGGCAGUGUCCUCCAAGGAAGGGUUAGUAACACAAAGGACUGGUGCAGGAUGAUUUAUCAUUCAGGGGCUACUGCCAUCAGUGACAGCUCUGCCAUGAAGAGCGGUUCUUAGUGGUCUGCUCCACCUGAGGUGGCACAGAAAAAUGAGAGCGACUGGUGAAGCAUCUCUCCAUCGGCCUAAUCAGACCUUCUACAAG